AUUGAACGCUGGCGGCAGGCUUUACACAUGCAAGUCGCACGAGUGGCGGACGGGUGAGUAACAUUUAGGAAUCUGCCUAGCAGUGGGGGAUAGCUCGGGGAUACUCGAAUUAAUACCGCACACUAUUAGAUGAGCCUAAAGCAGCUUAGCUAGUUGGUGGGGUAAAGACCCACCAAGGCGACGAUCUGUAACUGGUCUGAGAGGAUGAUCAGUCACACCGGAACUGAUACACGGUCCGGACUCCUACGGGAGGCAGCAGUGGAGAAUAUUGGACAAUGGGGGCAACCUGAUCCAGCCAUGCCGCGUGUAUGAAGAAGGCCUUUGGGUUGUAAAGCACUUUAGGCAGGGAGGCGUUACCUGCAGAAUAAGCACCGGCUAACUCCGUGCCAGCCGCCGCGGUAAUAC
rnacentral:rRNA from 1 species